AACGAACGCUGGCGGCAGGCUUAACACAUGCAAGUCGAGCGCAUCGCAAGGUGAGCGGCGGACGGGUUAGUAACGCGUGGGAACGUGCCCUUUUCUUCGGAAUAGCUUCGGGAAACUGAAGGUAAUACCGGAUACGCCCUUCGGGGGAAAGAUUUAUCGGGGAAGGAUCGGCCCGCGUCUGAUUAGGUAGUUGGUGGGGUAAUGGCCUACCAAGCCGACGAUCAGUUGCUGGUUUGAGAGGAUGAUCAGCAACACUGGGACUGAGACACGGCCCAGACUCCUACGGGAGGCAGCAGUGGGGAAUCUUAGACAAUGGGCGCAAGCCUGAUCUAGCCAUGCCGCGUGGAUGAUGAAGGCCUUAGGGUCGUAAAGUCCUUUCGCUGGGGAAGAUAAUGACGGUACCCAGUAAAGAAACCCCGGCUAACUCCGUGCCAGCCGCCGCGGUAAGAC
rnacentral:rRNA from 1 species